rnacentral:lncRNA from 1 species
AAACCCUAAAUCUAGAUCUCAAGAUCGUGCGGUAACAGUGAGAAACCUAAUAAAAAUGCAAUUAAGAGAGAGAGAGAGAGAAACCUCGACGGUGAACGGACCCAUGGAGGUUUCAAGUGUAACCUCCGGUGGACUUCCUUCAGGUCUCGCCGUCAUUUUUUCGGAGAGAGAGAGCAGCGACUCGUGAGGAACCUAGUGAGAGAGUCAUAAGACGUUUACUCUAGUAAAGUCCUUAUCGGGUCGGAUCUGAUUCUUUCUCAGUCAUGGGUCGACCCGAGAUUUUCAAAACAGUUGGGCCUAGCGCAAGUCCAUUGUGUGUAUAUCUCACAAUGCCACAAAAUGAUGAUGCCAUGAGAGAAAACGGAUCAAAAUGUAUGCAAUUAAAAAAUUAGCUAGUUUUUAUUUGUGUUUCAGUUUGUUUGAAAAUGAAAAUUUAUUAAAAUAUUUUCGUACAAAUGAUGGUAUUUUCUUGUGAAAUCUCUAGCAUAUUUUUUUAAAUAAAAUAUGACAAGUUUUGUUCAAAAUAACUCACACCUUUUUAAUAAAUUACUUCGAAUAUAUAUAUAUAUAUAUAAAUAGAAGGGCAAAUCUCCAAAAUAGCACAUUUCUAAGUUUAUGUCACAAAAAUAGCCUUCAAAAACUAAAAUGACCAAAAUAUCAUUUUAUCUUUUGAAAAAUUUAAUUUUUUUUUAUUUUUCAAAAUUUGAAAUCUUAUCCCCAACUCUAAAUCCUAAAAUCUAAACUCUAAACCCUAAACUCUAAACCCUAAACCCUAAAUCCUAAACUCUACCCCUUAACUCUAAACCCUAAACCCUAAACCCUAAAUCCUAAACCCACCCCUUAACUCUAAACUCUAAUGUCUAAAUUAAUUUACCAUUGGAGUAUAAGUGUAUAUUUAUCUCUUUUGAUAAAACAAUUAGUGCUAUUUUGAUCAUUUUUAUUCUUAAAAACUAUAUUUGUGACAAAAACUUUUUUAGUGCUAUCCUAGUCAUUUUCUCUAA